UCAGCUCGUGUCGUGAGAUGUUGGGUUAAGUCCCGCAACGAGCGCAACCCUUGCCCUGUUUUGCCAUCAUUAAGUUGGGAACUAUCAGGGGACCGCCAGCGAUAAGUUGGAGGAAGGUGGGGAUGACGUCAAGUCAUCAUGGCCUUUAUGUCCAGGGCUACACACGUGCUACAAUGGACGGUACAAAGCGCUGCUAAACCGCGAGGUGGAGCUAAUCGCAAAAAACCGUUCUCAGUUCGGAUCGCAGGCUGCAACUCGCCUGCGUGAAGCUGGAAUCGCUAGUAAUGGCAGAUCAGCAUGCUGCCGUGAAUACGUUCCCGGGCCUUGUACACACCGCCCGUCACAUCACGAAAGUGGAUUGUACUAGAAGUCUGUGCGCUAACCGCAAGGAGGCCACGGCCCAAGGUAUGAUUCAUGAUUGGGGUG
rnacentral:rRNA from 1 species